AGUAUUAUAGUUUUUUUUAUAUGGAUUUGUAUUUGGACUUCAGACCGCUGCUGUGUGUGUGUGUGUGAGUGAGACGUCAGCUAGAGUGAGUGAAGAUGUUUGUUUUUUUUAAGUCGUAUCGUCUUUAAACUGAUAUUUAAGCAGAGCGCACACACGCUGGUUCGUUUAGACUUCAUAUUUUAACUGUAACUUUAUUUUGUGUUUAUUAUUCGAUAAUUUUUUGCAAUAGUUUAAGCAUGUAUAGUUUUUAUAUACACUAUAUUGCCAAAAGUAUUCGCUCACCUGCCUUGACUCGCAUAUGAACUUAAGUGACAUCCCAUUCCUAAUCCAUAGGGUUCAAUAUGACGUCGGUCCACCCUUUGCAGCUAUAACAGCUUCAACUCUUCUGGGAAGGCUGUCCACAAGGUUUAGGAGUGUGUUUAUGGGAAUUUUUGACCAUUCUUCCAGAAGCGCAUUUGUGAGGUCACACACUGAUGUUGGACGAGAAGGCCUGGCUCUCAGUCUCCGCUCUAAUUCAUCCCAAAGGUGUUCUAUCAGGUUGAGGUCAGGACUCUGUGCAGGCCAGUCAAGUUCAUCCACACCAGACUCUGUCAUCCAUGUCUUUAUGGACCUUGCUUUGUGCACUGGUGCACAGUCAUGUUGGAAGAGGAAGGGGCCAGCUCCAAACUGUUCCCACAAAGUUGGGAGCAUGGAAUUGUCCAAAAUGUCUUGGUAUGCUGAAGCAUUCAGAGUUCCUUUCACUGGAACUAAGGGGCCAAGCCCAGCUCCUGAAAAACAACCCCACACCAUAAUCCCCCCUCCACCAAACUUUACACUUGGCACAAUGCAGUCAGACAAGUACCGUUCUCCUGGCAACCGCCAAACCCAGACUCGUCCAUCAGAUUGCCAGAUGGAGAAGCGCGAUUCGUCACUCCAGAGAACGCGUCUCCACUGCUCUAGAGUCCAGUGGCGGCGUGCUUUACACCACUGCAUCCGACGCUUUGCAUUGAACUUGGUGAUGUAUGGCUUGGAUGCAGCUGCUCGGCCAUGGAAACCCAUUCCAUGAAGCUCUCUGCGCACUGUUCUUGAGCUAAUCUGAAGGCCACAUGAAGUUUGGAGGUCUGUAGCGAUUGACUCUGCAGAAAGUUGGCGACCUUUUCGCACUAUGCGCCUCAGCAUCCGCUGACCCCGCUCCGUCCGUUUACGUGGCCUACCACUUCAUGGCUGAGUUGCUGUCGUUCCCAAACACUUCCACGUUCUUAUAAUACAGCUGACAGUUGACUGUGGAAUAUUCAGGAGCGAGGAAAUUUCACGACUGGAUUUGUUGCACAGGUGGCAUCCUAUCACAGUUCCACGCUGGAAUUCACUGAGCUCCUGAGAGCGAUCCAUUCUUUCACAAAUGUUUGUAAGAACAGUCUGCAUGCCUAGGUGCUUGAUUUUAUACACCUGUGGCCAUGGAAGUGAUUGGAACACCUGAUUCUGAUUAUUUGGAUGGGCGAGCGAAUACUUUUGGCAAUAUAGUGUAUGUAUAUGUGUGUAUAUGUAUAUGUAUAUAUAAUAUAUAUUAGUUCCAACGAUAAAAUGUUGCUCAUGUUGUGCUUAAGUGUGCUAUUACCUUUCAUGCUGAUAAGUAUUAUAGUUUAUUUUAUAUGGAUUUUUAAAUUUAUUUUUCAAGGACUUCAGACCGCUACUGUGUGUGUGACAGCUAGAGUGAGGGAAGAGGUUUGUUUAAGGUCGCAUUAUCUUUAAACUGUUCCUACAGCCUACAAUUCUUACUCUACAGCCACAUAAACUACCUUAAACUUUUUACGCUGUGACUUUAGCUUUAUUUUAUUAUAUAUAUAUUAUAUUAUAUAUUUUAUUUUUAAAUAAAUUUAAAUUUUAUUAUAUAUUAUAUAUAUUUUAUUAAUAUUAUUUGAGCAUGUCUUGCAAUAGUUUAAGCAACAUAUUCACAAUCACACUCACAUUUUCUUCUGGAAAUGCAACAUUCUAGUUUAAACUAAAUAUCUGCACUCACAUCCUCCUUUAACCCCUGUAUGUGACACUUACAACCUGGAUCUGGAUGAAAUGGAUAUAAUCAGGAUAUUAUGUCAUGACCAGGGGCGUUUCUAGGAUUUGAAAACAUCAGGGGCUGAGCCUGAAACAUCAGGGGUUAAUUAGGGAGAGGGGGCAAGCAAGAAUAGCACGUUUUGCAAGGGCAAUAUUUGUUUAAUAAUAAACACAAAUUAAUCUCACACAGGUAUGCCAUGCAAUAUUAUCUCUUUUACAGCUUGUGUGUGAAGCAGUGCCAUGUAGGUCCUUUAUUAUUAUUAUUAUUAUUAUUAUUAUUAUUAUUUUACAGUAAUCUAUAUUAUACUUGUACCUUUUAUUUCAUUCCUCAUUUUUGAUGGAACUACUGUAUGUAUUAUUCUUUGUUUUUUUUUACAGCCUCUCUUCUCUUAUUGUUCUCUCGUCUGUCUUGCUGCUUGUAUCUUGUCUACUUCAUGCUCUUGGUGACUUUUCUAUCCUAUUUCUUUGAGGGUGGAAUCAUCAGAGAGUAUCUCCGAGACUUGACUUGAGCAAAACGGUCUGUCCAUUCUGGAGUUGUUUGAUUAUCGCCAUGAAGCAUUUGAACGAUAUCUACGAAGGAGAGCCCUUUAACUUCCAGAUGGUUCACAACGAACCUCAUCUGUAAGCGAGGUCACAUUAACAGAUGAUGGCUGGAGGAUGCGAGGACCGAACGAGUCGUCGUGGCUCAGCGAAGCAUUACGCUUUCCUCCUGCCGUCAUCAUCAAGCGAGGAAGAGGAGCUAAUGAAAAAAUAAUAAGCAUUCGAAAUUGAGAAUUCACCACAGCACCUUGUAUUCAUUAUUAUUCUCUUUAAACUAAAAAAAAAUAUAUAUAUAUAUAUAUACACAGACUGAUAUAUCUCAAGUGUUUACUUUUGAUGAUUAUGGCUUACAGCUAAUUAAAACCCAAACUGCAGUAUCUCAGAAAAUAUAAAUAUUGUGGAAAAAGUUCAAUAUUGGAGACUCAUGGUGUCACAUUAUAAUCAGCUAAUUAACUCAAAAUACCUGCAAAGGUUUCCUGAGCCUUUAAAUGGUCUCUCAGUCUGGUCCAGUAGGCUACACAAUCAUGGGGAAGACUGCUGCCCGGACAGAUGUCCAGAAGAUGGUCAUUGACACCCUGCACAUGGAUGGGUCUGAUCGUCUACCAGGAAGUUUUAGAGCACUUCAUGCUUCUCUAUGAUGACCAGCUUUAUGGAGAUGCUGAUUUCAUUUUCCACCAGGACUUGGCACCUGCCCACACUGCCAAAAGUACUAAUAUCUAGUCUAAGAACCAUGGUGUCCAUGUGCUUGAUUGGCCAGCAAACCCUGUGAAAGCCCUACCUAAAUCCCAUAGAGAAUCAGUGGGGUACUGUGAAGAGGAAGAUGUGAGACAUCAGACCCAACAAUGCAAAAGAGCUGAAGGAUGCUUUCAGAGCAACCUGGUCUUCCGUAACACCUCAGCAGUGCCACAGACUAACCGUCUCCAUGCCGUGCCGCAUUGCUGCAGUAAUUCACGCAAAGGGAACUCCGACCAAGUAUUGAAUGCUGGACAUGUACAUACUUUUCAGUGGUCCAACAUUUCUGUGUUGAAAAUUAUUUUUUAAACUUUUAUUGUCCUUAAGUAAUAUUCAGGUUUUCUGAGAUACUGAAUUUUGGGUUUUCAUUAGCUGCAAGCCUAUGGCGUCAAAUCCGCGCUAUAUCGUACUCGUAAAAUAAAAUAUCGUGCUCGUAAAAAAAAAUAUCAUACUUGUAAAAAAAAUUAUCGUGCUCGUAAAAAAUAAAUAAAACACGUGAAUCGCAAGGAUGCUAGUUUGUUCUUUCCAGCAUGCUAGUGUUUGUUAUUCCAAAAAUUACACAUAGAGUUUUAUGCAGAUUAGGGGGCGGGAUAAAAGUCCCCAUUGGUCCACUGCUUCUCUACCCACUGCCCUUCUCUAGCCAAUCAGUAAAGUGACGUCACUGACGCGCGACUCUGUCGGUUAGUGUUUGAACCUGUCUUAAGUAAGUGAGAAGAUGGGCGAUUACACACCGCGACAUGUAAUCGAUAGCAAUGUAUACGUUAGUUAGAUGCCUUAAUUGUCCAAGGAAUCAGGUGUAAUAUGUCUAAAAUGCUUCUGACAUGUUCCAGUUUGUGUAGGUGUGGAUGACAUUGCUUUCUUCCUAGAGGAGCAAGGUACAGGGGUUGUGCUUACAGAGACUGAGUAGAUGCUGUGACCACAGGCACAGUUUAGGACACACACUGACCCAAACUCCACAUCCUGAGACUUUGGAUGAGAUCUUAUAAAUUGCAGUUUGUUUUUUAUUAUGUCUUACCUGAAUAAGAUAUUCCACAUGAUGCAUGUUUACAUUUGUCCACAAGACAAAAUAUUAACUGAAUUUGCACAAAUGAACCAGUUCAAAAGUUUACAUACACUUGAUUCUUAAUACUGUGUUGUUACCUGGUUGAUCAACAUAAAAACAGUCGUUAUUCAUCCAGGUAAUAACACACAAUAUUAAGAACGAUGACCUUGAGAAGGAGAGAAGGUAUCAAGCUGAUUCUUACCACCUCAAAGCUUAAUAAUUUACAUAAAUAAAGGACUACUGCUGGAGUCUGGAAGUGAAAUAUUCACUACAAAUUUAGGCUUUAAGAAAAGUAAGGAAAAAAAAGACUAAAGCAGAAGACUAGAGGUCAAAUACUUACCACAGAUACCUACCACUGAUACUUACCACAUGAUGAGUACGGGGUGAUCUUUGGGGUUUGCUCAAAGAUCACUGCUUAGUGCAGGAAUCACUUCAACUGGUAAUUGGAGGGGCCUUGUGACUACCUGCAUCUCCCACUCAGGUUCCACACGCUGUCGUCUACUAGAAGGGAAGAAUUCAUCGUCUUCCUCUUCCUCUUCAUCCCUCCACCUUUUCCCCUGGUCUAGAACAGGAUAUGCUGGAACAUAUCAGAUAUCAAUGAGAAACAUCUGCACAACUCAUAAAAGGAAGCAGAAACCGUUAGUUUAAUAGUACAGCAUCUGUUUUGUACAGCAGAAAAACCAUCACUCAGUAUGUACACAAGUUAUAUUACAGUAAUCUUCCUAUAACAGUACAUACGUUCUCUGUCUACAUUUGCAGCUAAAAUGUAAAUAGAGUCACAUUACCCACUUAUAUCACUGCAAACUCCCCCCCCCCAAAAAAAAAACCUUCAACCAAACUAUAUGUCUAUUAAGGGUUAAUUUUUACUUCAUCAUUUAUUACUCUGAUGGUUCUUACCAGAAGGGACUACUUGAUUGUCUUCCUCUUCAUCCCUUCUACUUAUUCUCUGGCGCCAAACAUGAAAGGUCACAGACGCUGGAAUGAAAGGCUGGCCAGACUGCAUGUCGUGCAACACAACAAUGGGAUGGCGUAGGAUGGGACGUACUAUAGGGAUUGGUAUCCUUAAUGGGGAUGGGCUCCUUGCAGGUGGUUGGUCCCAUACAGGUAACAGGACCCUCAUGGGUGGGGAUGGGCUCCAUGCAGGUGGGGAUGGGCUCCUAACAGGGGAUGAGCUCCUCACAGUGACCUCAUUCUCAUCACCUCCAUCUUGCACAUCCUGCUGCAGAAUAAACACAAUUUCCUCAUCCUCAGAGUCACUCUGCUCGCUGUAGUUGAGCUCGUCUUGACGUGUUUGUUCCCCUAGUCUCCCUGUGUCAAAAGACAAAUGAGAAACAUCUGCACAACUCACAACACAAUAGGAAGCACAAACCUUUAGUUUAACAGUACAGCAGAAAAACAUCACUCAGUAUGUACACAAGUUAUAUUACAGUAAUCCUCCUAUAAAUACAUUCUCUCUAUUUACGUUUUAGCUGCAAAUGUGAAGUCACAUGACCAACUUCUCUCACUGCUAACUCACCCGCGACAAAAACUUUCAGAUUAAACUAGAUUAAUGUCUAUUAAGGGUUAGUUUUUUUUACUUUAUCAGUGUUUACUCCGAGGUUUCUCAUCACUUUUGUGAACUCGGAACACUGAAAAACAAUUAUUUAGCCACAUUAGCUAUGCUAACUAGCCGCCUAGCUAAUCUUCGCUAAUAUUUCUCCUCCUCCAGCUCGACUUCAGUAAACUUUUAGUAAACCUGCUAAUUUUGCCAGUUAUUUGGCUUAAAAGGUCCAACUUUAUCCAUUUUAGACCACUUUAUACCCACAAACCUUAGGAUAAUUAUCAUGUCAACAAAACGAUUAGCCAAAUAACAACGAACAGAUCGCCUUUCCCUAAAACUGUCUAACCAUACAAAACGAUAUUCCUAAUGGCGUUUCCGCCUGUUUAGUGCUGUUUUUAACACAGUUUUACUCACUAAAGCACUUGUUACUUUACGGAAAAUGUAAAAAGUCAGUAACUCACCGGUCCAGGGGUCGUAUAGUCCGGUCCAUCCGGGCUGAGGGUCCGCGUCCUCCUGCCGCUGUAGCGUGUCUUCAUCCUCGCUGGUGGUGCAGAGUCGGUGAAGGCGUCCAAUCGCAAAAGUGUUGCAGGAAUAAAAGUGAUGUACAGUAGUGCUGUAGCAGGAAUCAGAAAGUAGUAUCCAAGUCUUGCGAUCUUCAACACCAAACACUUUUCAAUUUGAAAAUAAGCAAUCCAAAGCAUUAUGUCACGUGACACUGCAGUCAGUGCGCAUGCAGUCUAAUCUUCUCUCACCCUCACAGAUAUUAUCAUCAAUCAUGGGCGUCACUAGGCCAUUUUUAGGGGGGCUUUAGCCCCCCUAACAUUUCUACUCAGCCCCCAAAAAAUUCUGCGAUCCUCCAUAAACUGUACACAAGUUGGUGAUCUACUCACUCCUUUAAAUUACAUAUGAAAACGGCGGCAGAGUUUGGCUUUUCCCCGUCUUUCAGCUCGUUCUUCAAUCCGCAGUCCGCAGCAUCGCAGAGUGAGAAUCAGAGGACAAGUGCGUGUGUGUGUGAUCAAGAAGAUCUUUGGCUUGUUCAGUUCUCAAAUGUUAUACACAUCUAUGCAAUACAGUGGAAUGCUGCAAUAAGUUUACCAUCAUACCCUGCGUCUCUACUUCCUGCGAAGGCUGAGGAAGGCUCAUCUUCCACCUCCCAUCCUGACCACCUACUACAGAGGGACCAUCGAGCGUCCUGAGCAGCUGCAUCACUGCCUGGUUUGGGAAUUGCACCGUCCUCGGACCGAGGACAGUUGAGAAGAUCAUCGGAGUCUCUCUUCCCUCUAUCACGGACAUUUACUCCACACGCUCCACCCGCAAAGCUAACAGCAUUGUGGAUGAUCCCACACACCCCUCACACACACUCUUCACCCUUCUGCCAUCCGGAAAGAGGUACUGAAGCAUUCAGACCCACACAACCAGACUGUUAAACAGUUUCUUCCCUCAGGCAAUCAGGUAUCUCAACAGAGAACUGAGCUGAGCUGGACACACACACACACACGUACAACCAAGAUCUGAUCUCAAAGGAGAACUGAACUGUGCUGGACACGGACACACACACAUACUAAAUUGUCCUGUUUGCACGCACAUGUCACUUUACAUUUAUAUAUAUUUAUAUUAAUUCUGUUUACAUGUGUCGCUUUAAUAUCUGCAAUCACUGUAUACACUGUUCUUUCAUUGACUAACAUUGUCUUGUUCAUUGCACAAAGUCGGCCUAUAUGUUGUUUGUCUGCACUGUCUUGUCUUGUCUUGUCUUCCUGUGCACUUCUGUUGUAUGUCUAGUUCUUAAAGACAGCACCUUAAGUAUAGUUUAAUUUUGUAGUUUAAUUUUAAUUUUUAAAUUAUAGUUUAAUUUUUUUUUAUAUCUCUGUUAUAGCUCUAUGUUUGUCUGCGUCACUAUACUUUGUGUUAUGUGUAGCACCUCUUGUCUAGGGAGGAACGUUGUUUCACUUCACUGUG